rnacentral:tRNA from 1 species
GCGCCUGUAGCUCAAUUGGUUAGAGCCGGCCGCUCAUAACGGCUUGGUUGGGGGUUCGAGUCCCUCCGGGCGCACGG